AUGAAUACAGUAGCCCAACUACGUGAAUUCAUUGAGCUGGCUUCGACCGUUACCUCGACCUCCCUCGACCCUAACACUCCGGACGCCAUCUCCUGGAACUAGAACCCCAACGGCAAAUAUUUGGCUAGCUCGGCCUAUCGGGCACAAUUCCUCAGAUCUUAUUCAAGAAUUUUCGGCGACAAAAUAUGGAAGGCGCAUGCGGAGACAAAGUGCAAACUUUUCUCCUGGCUGGUCCUCCACAACCGGGUCCUUACGGCUAACGGACUCGCCUUGCAUGGCUGGCCACAUGACCCCGUCUGCCAACUAUGCCUCCGCACGAACGAGAAUGCAAAACACCUUUGCAGGACCCGCCUGUUCACUUCCGCAGUCCGCACCCUUAUCCUGACUUGGGUGGGGGAGCCGCUUACGUUUUCUCUGGCUGCCGCUUCCCCCUCAAUCGACGCCCGGUGGGAUGCUGGCCCCAAAAACUCCGACAACAGUUUGAGAAGGCGACGCAAUGGCUGCCUCGUCUAUAUAAUGUGGCAUGCCUGA
rnacentral:rRNA from 1 species